rnacentral:rRNA from 1 species
ACGCUUCUUUUCUACCGAGUGCUUGCACUCAUUUGAAAAGAGGAGUGGCGGACGGGUGAGUAACACGUGGGUAACCUGCCCAUCAGAGGGGGAUAACACUUGGAAACAGGUGCUAAUACCGCAUAAUAGUCGACACCGCAUGGUGUUGAUUUGAAUGACGCUUUCGGGUGUCACUGAUGGAUGGACCCGCGGUGCAUUAGCUAGUUGGUGAGGUAACGGCUCACCAAGGCGAUGAUGCAUAGCCGACCUGAGAGGGUGAUCGGCCACACUGGGACUGAGACACGGCCCAGACUCCUACGGGAGGCAGCAGUAGGGAAUCUUCGGCAAUGGACGAAAGUCUAACCGAGCAACGCCGCGUGAGUGAAGAAGGUUUUCGGAUCGUAAAACUCUGUUGUUAGAGAAGAACAAGUAGGAGAGUAACUGCUCUUACCUUGACGGUACCUAACCAGAAAGCCACGGCUAACUACGUGCCAGCAGCCGCGGUAAUACGUAGGUGGCAAGCGUUGUCCGGAUUUAUUGGGCGUAAAGCGAGCGCAGGCGGUUUCUUAAGUCUGAUGUGAAAGCCCCCGGCUCACCCGGGGAGGGUCAUUGGAAACUGGGAGACUUGAGUGCAGAAGAGGAGGGGUGGAAUUCCAUGUGUAGCGGUGAAAUGCGUAGAUAUAUGGAGGAACACCAGUGGCGAAGGCGACUCUCUGGUCUGUAACUGACGCUGAGGCUCGAAAGCGUGGGGAACAAACAGGAUUAGAUACCCUGGUAGUCCACGCCGUAACGAUGAGUGCUAGUGUGUUGGGAGGGAUUCCGCUCUUCAGUGCUGCAGCAACGCAUUAAGCACUC